UAAAAUCAUUUGAAUCUCGUUGCUACCUAUCCUACCAGAAUUUUGGGUGUUCCUAGCAGUUCCCACUUAUGUUCCAGAUAUCAACGAGUGUGGCCCACCUCUAUACGUGUCUUGUGGAAGCUUUGCACAUUGUCACAAUGUUGAGGGGAGUCACUACUGUGAAUGUGCCUCUGGGCAUGAACUCCUUUCAGGGGGCACCAAAUUCCAAAGUGAGAAGGAGAACACUUGUCAAGAGUGUCUCUCAUUUCUUUGACAAAGUCCAGCAAUUAUCCCAAGACUUCAUGCCAGCCUUGGCCAAGAACACCAUCCAGGU
rnacentral:lncRNA from 1 species